rnacentral:rRNA from 1 species
AGUGGCGGACGGGUGAGUAACGCGUGGGUAACCUGCCUCAUACAGGGGGAUAACAGUUAGAAAUGACUGCUAAUACCGCAUAAGCGCACAGGGACACAUGUUCCGGUGUGAAAAACUCCGGUGGUAUGAGAUGGACCCGCGUCUGAUUAGCUGGUUGGCGGGGUAACGGCCCACCAAGGCGACGAUCAGUAGCCGACCUGAGAGGGUGACCGGCCACAUUGGGACUGAGACACGGCCCAAACUCCUACGGGAGGCAGCAG